ACUCAACUGUGCAGCAGCAGCCCAAAAACCUAUGAGAAUGUUAGAAACUAUAAGGAAAGGGAUAGAUAAGACAGAAAAUAUCAAUAUGCCUAUAUAUAAAUCCUUGGUACGCCCACACCUUGAAUACUGCAUGCAGUUCUGGUUGUCCCAUCUCAAAACAA